rnacentral:rRNA from 1 species
UACGUAGGGUGCAAGCGUUGUCCGGAAUUAUUGGGCGUAAAGAGCUCGUAGGCGGUCUGUCGCGUCUGCUGUGAAAACUCAGGGCUUAACCCUGAGCUUGCAGUGGGUACGGGCAGACUAGAGUGCGGUAGGGGGAGACUGGAAUUCCUGGUGUAGCGGUGGAAUGCGCAGAUAUCAGGAGGAACACCGAUGGCGAAGGCAGUUCUCUGGGCCGUAACUGACGCUGAGGAGCGAAAGCGUGGGGAGCGAACAGG